rnacentral:rRNA from 1 species
GACGAACGCUGGCGGCGUGCUUAACACAUGCAAGUGGAGCGACGAACCAGGUUUCGGCCUGGGGCAGAGCCGCGAACGGGUGAGUAACACGUGGGUAACCUGCCCUGACGAUCGGGACAACCCGGGGAACCCGGGCUAAUACCGAAUGUGCCCGCGAGCCAGAAGGCUUGCGAGGAAAGGAAGCUUCGGCCUCCGCAUCGGGAUGGGCCCGCGGCCCAUUAGCUUGUUGGUGGGGUAACGGCCUACCAAGGCAGCAAUGGGGUAGCU